ensembl:lncRNA
AAGAGUUUGAGUAAAGUAAACUAAGUGAUGUUAUUUGUGACAUUUUUUGUCUUGGAAACUAUUGCUUCUAUUUAAGAUUAGGAAUCCUUUUAUCCAUAAUCUGUUUUUCAUUAGGGCACUUGACUUUCUGGAUAAAAGGUGUCGAGCUCGUCAAGUACUAAGCUUUACACCCCUAGCAGCAAAUUUACCCUGGCAGCAUAUGAGUGAAAACGCUGGAGUUAGGAGAAAUUCAUCGCUUUGUUAUUGGCCCUUGGACGCCCCUGGCAUCUCGUGUACAGCACAAAGUUUUCAGCUAUGAAGAUUUCCAGCGACUCCAGAAUGAAAACCAAGCUCUGAGGGAGGAGAACCAAGCCCUGAGGGAAUGCAAUGCACAAGCAGCUUCGGAUGACAGCGGCUCACUUCAAGAGCAGGUGAAGCAAGUAGGGACAAUGUUGAAGACAUUGGUGCGUUACCUGAAAGGAGCAUCUGACCGUGAAGGCAGAAAAAGCGCCGCACAGCUGAGAGGGACCCACAGCCGACCCCUUACACCUUGGCUGACUACUGGCACCCCAGCAUCACUGAACUGGAACACUUUCUUUAUCCUGCAGUCAGUAACAUCAAGAAGCCAGAAAUGCCAGACUACACUCACCAAACCCACCCUGUUCACUGUGGAUGUUUUUUUUGUUUGUUUGUAUUUUAACUUUAGUAUUGGCUUAUUUCCUUC